AUUGAACGCUGGCGGCAGGCCUAACACAUGCAAGUCGAACGAGUGGCGGACGGGUGAGUAAUGUCUGGGACACUGCCCGAUGGAGGGGGAUAACUACUGGAAACGGGAGCUAAUACCGCAUACCAUCGGAUGUGCCCAGAUGGGAUUAGCUUGUAGGUGAGGUAAAGGCUCACCUAGGCGACGAUCCCUAGCUGGUCUGAGAGGAUGACCAGACACACUGGAACUGAGACACGGUCCAGACGCUGACGGGAGGCAGCAGUGGGGAUGAUUGCACAAUGGGCGCAAGCCGGAUGCAGUCAUGCGGCGUGUAUGAAGAAGGCCUUCGGGUUGUAAAGUACUUUCAGCGGGGAGGCGUUACCCGCAGAAGAAGCACAGGCUAACUCCGGGCCAGCAGACGCGGUAAUUC
rnacentral:rRNA from 1 species